GACGGAGGAUGCAAGUGCUAUCCGGAAUCACUGGGCGUAAAGCGUCUGUAGGUGGUUCGAAAAGUCCACUGUUAAAAAUUGAGGCUUAACUUCAAAGAUGCCGUGGAAACUUUCAAACUAGAGUAUGGUAGGGGUAGAGGGAAUUUCCAGUGGAGCGGUGAAAUGCGUAGAUAUUGGAAAGACCACCGAUGGCGAAGGCACUCUACUGGGCCAUUACUGACACUGAGAGACGAAAGCUAGGGGAGCAAAUGGG
rnacentral:rRNA from 1 species